rnacentral:lncRNA from 1 species
GCCGCGGAGGCCGUGGGUCGCCAUGUGGAUGCUUUGCGGGGAGGCAUCGGGCGAAGAUCUAGUGGGGGAAGGAGGAGAGGGCGUCAGAAAAGAUGACAGGAGGCGAUCCCAUUGAGCACUCCUUUAAGAACAAGGGUACUGCGAAGACACAACCCCUUCCUCUAGCGCCAAUCCUGUUGGUGCAAAAAUUCGCCUGCAUCGGAGAAGCUAGAGUCGAGGGAGUCGCGGUCGC